rnacentral:rRNA from 1 species
GUUAGGAAUAUUGGACAAUGGGCGCAAGCCUGAUCUAGCCAUGCCGCGUGAGUGAUGAAGGCCUUCGGGUUGUAAAGCUCUUUAGUCCACGAAUAUAAUGACUGUAGUGGAAGAAUAAGCCCCGGCUAACUUCGUGCCAGCAGCCGCGGUAAUACGAAGGGGGCGAGCGUUAUUCGGAAUCACUGGGCGUAAAGCGUGCGUAGGCUGUUUUGUAAGUCAGAAGUGAAAGCCCAGGGCUUAACCCUGGAAUUGCUUUUGAAACUACAAGACUCGAAUUCGGGAGAGGAUAGCGGAAUUGUCAGUGUAGCAGUGAAAUGCGUAGAUAUUGACAGGAACACCAGUGGCGCAAGCGGCUAUCUGGACCGAUAUUGACGCUGAGGCACGAAAGCGUGGGGAGCAAACAGGAUUAGAAACCCGGGUAGUCC